rnacentral:rRNA from 1 species
CCUACGGGGGGCAGCAGUGAGGAAUAUUGGUCAAUGGUCGGGAGACUGAACCAGCCAAGCCGCGUGAGGGAGGAAGGUACAGAGUAUCGUAAACCUCUUUUGUCAGGGAACAAAGGCGGGGACGUGUCCCCGGAUGAGUGUACCUGAAGAAAAAGCAUCGGCUAACUCCGUGCCAGCAGCCGCGGUAAUACGGAGGAUGCGAGCGUUAUCCGGAUUUAUUGGGUUAAAAGGGUGCGAAGGCGGUCUGUUAAGUCAGCGGUAAAAGCCCGGGGCUCACCCCCGGCCCGCCGUUGAAACUGGCAGUCUCGAGUUGGAGAGAAGUAUGCGGAAUGCGCGGUGUAGCGGUGAAAUGCAUAGAUAUCGCGCAGAACUCCGAUUGCGAAGGCAGCAUGCCGGCUCCACACUGACGCUGAGGCACGAAAGCGUGGGUAUCGAACAGGAUUAGAUACCCUUGUAGUC